rnacentral:rRNA from 1 species
CCUACGGGGGGCAGCAGUGGGGAAUCUUGCGCAAUGGGCGAAAGCCUGACGCAGCAACGCCGCGUGCGGGAUGAAGGCCUUCGGGUUGUAAACCGCUUUCAGCAGGGACGAAAUUGACGGUACCUGCAGAAGAAGCCCCGGCCAACUACGUGCCAGCAGCCGCGGUAAUACGUAGGGGGCGAGCGUUGUCCGGAUUUAUUGGGCGUAAAGAGCUCGUAGGCGGUUGGGUAAGUCGGGUGUGAAAACUCAGGGCUCAACUCUGAGACGCCACUCGAUACUGCUCUGACUCGAGUCCGGUAGGGGAGCGUGGAAUUCCCGGUGUAGCGGUGAAAUGCGCAGAUAUCGGGAGGAACACCAGUGGCGAAGGCGGCGCUCUGGGCCGGAACUGACGCUGAGGAGCGAAAGCGUGGGUAGCAAACAGGAUUAGAUACCCUGGUAGU